rnacentral:rRNA from 1 species
UACGAAGGGGGCUAGCGUUGCUCGGAAUUACUGGGCGUAAAGCGCACGUAGGCGGCUCUUUAAGUCGGGGGUGAAAUCCUGGAGCUCAACUCCAGAACUGCCUUCGAUACUGUAGAGCUUGAGUUCGGGAGAGGUGAGUGGAACUGCGAGUGUAGAGGUGAAAUUCGUAGAUAUCAGGAGGAAUACCGAUGGCGAAGGCAGGUCUCUGGGCUGAUACUGACGCUCAUGCACGAAAGCGUGGGGAGCAAACAGG